AACAGAAAACCAAAAA
rnacentral:sRNA from 1 species